GGGCGAGGAUGAUAGAAUGUACCCGCGCUUCUGAGCGGCCCUGUGCCCCUCUGAAGAGACUGUACACAAUCAUGGUUGAAUUUCUUCAGCUGAGCCC
rnacentral:snoRNA from 1 species